rnacentral:rRNA from 1 species
ACAGCUCAAAUUUGAAAGCUGGCCUUCGGGUCCGCAUUGUAAUUUGUAGAGGAUGCUUUGGGGCAGCCGCCUGUCUAAGUUCCUUGGAACAGGACGUCAUAGAGGGUGAGAAUCCCGUAUGUGACAGGACAUGGCACCUCAUGUAAAGCUCCUUCGACGAGUCGAGUUGUUUGGGAAUGCAGCUCUAAAUGGGAGGUAAAUUUCUUCUAAAGCUAAAUACCGGCGAGAGACCGAUAGCGCACAAGUAGAGUGAUCGAAAGAUGAAAAGCACUUUGGAAAGAGAGUUAAAAAGCACGUGAAAUUGUUGAAAGGGAAGCGCUUGCAAUCAGACUUGUCCCGGGCUGUUCAGCCGGUCUUCUGACCGGUCCAUUCAGUCCGGGUGCAGGCCAGCAUCGGUUUCGGCGGUCGGAUAAAGGCCCUGGGAAUGUGGCUCGCCCCUUCGGGGGCGAGUGUUAUAGCCCAGGGUGUAAUACGGCCAGCCGGGACCGAGGUCCGCGCUUCGGCUAGGAUGCUGGCGUAAUGGUUGUAAGCGACCCGUCUUGAAA